rnacentral:rRNA from 1 species
GAUGAACGCUAGCGGCAGGCCUAAUACAUGCAAGUCGAGGGGCAGCAGGGAUAGCAAUAUUCGCUGGCGACCGGCGCACGGGUGCGUAACACGUAUACAAUCUGCCUUUAACUGGGGGAUAGCCCGGAGAAAUCCGGAUUAAUACCCCAUAAUAAUUUGACUGGCAUCAGUUAGAUUUGAAAGCUCCGGCGGUUAGAGAUGAGUAUGCGACUGAUUAGCUAGUUGGUGAGGUAACGGCUCACCAAGGCAACGAUCAGUAGGGGAUCUGAGAGGAUUAACCCCA